rnacentral:rRNA from 1 species
GACGAAGGGGGCUAGCGUUGUUCGGAAUUACUGGGCGUAAAGCGCGCGCAGGCGGUCUUCCAAGUCAGUGGUGAAAGCCCGGAGCUCAACUCCGGAACUGCCAUUGAAACUGUUGGACUUGAGUACGAGAGAGGUGAGUGGAAUUCCCAGUGUAGAGGUGAAAUUCGUAGAUAUUGGGAAGAACACCGGUGGCGAAGGCGGCUCACUGGCUCGUAACUGACGCUCAGGCGCGACAGCGUGGGGAUCAAACAGG